GACAGAGGAUGCAAGCGUUAUCCGGAAUGAUUGGGCGUAAAGCGUUUGUAGGUGGCUUUUUAAGUCCGCCGUCAAAUCCCACGGCUCAACCGUGGAACUGCUCGGUAUACUGCCCGUCUUGAGCCAGCUAGGGGCAACCGGAACGGAACGGUGGAGCGGUGAAAUGCGUAGAUAUCGUUUGGAACGCCGAUGGUGAAAACAGGUGCUGGGGCUGCGCUGACGCUGAGACACGAAAGCCAGGGGAGCGAACGGGAUAGAA
rnacentral:rRNA from 1 species